rnacentral:lncRNA from 1 species
AGUAAACCUGCAUACCCUAGUAACAGAGCAAUUCCACAAGCCUACCAGCCAAGACAUGUAUGAUGUGUAACUAUUAGCUAGUCAAUUGAAGUAAGUGAAACACAAGCCUCCCCUACCCGAGUCACAGGCAAUUCUCCACUUCCCCGCAUCCAACCCUGGAACGACACUAUAAUUGCUUAAAACAAGCACCCGAACUACCCUUGUAAUAUCAUUAAAUAAGUGAACCGAUAUUUCGGAUGAUCGGUGCAUUUCACUCCUAAAAGCUGUCGGACAAUCAGUACGUUUUCGGAUGAUCGGUGCAUUUUCUUUACCUUACUUUGGAACUGGAACUGGGGAUUACACUCGAACAGGACUAGCUUGACUACCUCGACUCGCGGGCCAUUCUGUAACUCCGUAUUUCAAGACUAAUGGCCUGUGGAAACACUAGCACCCUUUACUAUACUUGCUGUAAACUGAACCUCGUCUCUUUGAACUCAAGCAACACCUUCUUUCUUUCCCACUCCUAUUGC